GUCACACAACAAUGGGGGUGAAAUGGACAAUUAGAAGCUGAGGCGGAAGGGAAGAGUGACCAUGACAUCAUCGUUCGGGAACACCAAAUCAAAUAGCAGGCUUCAGGGAAUAGGAGGGGGUACACUGAACUGGGACACCGCUCAGCCUUCAUGACUGUGCUUUGGCCUUGCUCUCAAAGGUCAUGUGUUACAAAGUUAAUCCUGAGGGCAACAGUGUAGUAAAGUGGUACUUUUAAGAAGUAACAAAGCCAGGAGGUUCUGCCUUUCUGAAAGGAUUAGUAUCCUUUUCACAAAACAGAGAGCCCUCAGUUGGUAUAUCCCUCCAUCGUAGACAGCUCAGCCUCCAGAAGCACAAACAACAAAUUUCUGUUCAGUAUGAAUUACCCAGGUGAAGUAGCAGAAAGAGGAAGAUGUCAAACUCCAGUCAUGGAGGAGAGGUCGUGCUGUGCCACGUAAACAGGUUCAUCUCGUGCACCACCUGCCUGGAAACUGUAGUCAACUGCUUCCAUAAAGAACCUACUUUCCUGUUAGUUGAAAAUAGAAACUGUGGUACUUACACUUGGGUGCUCACUGCUGGUGUGUGAGUCAAGCAGACACAACGAGAAAGUACACCCUGCCUGGUGAAGGCAGAAGACAAAAUCAGAGUGAUAUUUCCAUCUGAAAGGUUUUUAUUCUGAAUAAUAAAAUCACUUCAUUCUAAUUAAGUCAAAUAAAAAUAUCGCACAGAC